AACGGGAAGCUUAUUUUUUUGAGCUUUCAGUGGCGAAAGGGUGAGUAACACGUGGGUGAUCUGCCCAAGAGACCGGGACAACCUGUCGAAAGACGGGCUAAUACCGGAUAAGACCACGAUUCCGAUGGAAUUGAGGUCAAAGAUGGGGACCGUAAGGCCUAUCGCUUUUGGAUGAGCCCGCGUCCUAUCAGCUAGUUGGUAGGGUAAUGGCCUACCAAGGCUAUGACGGGUAGCUGGCCUGAGAGGGUGGUCAGCCACAUCGGGACUGAGACACUGCCCGGACUCCUACGGGAGGCUGCAGUCGAGAAUCUUUCGCAAUGGGGGCAACCCUGACGAAGCGACGCCGCGUGUGGGAUGAAGGCCUUCGGGUUGUAAACCACUGUCACCAGGGACGAAAGGUGAUGGAGUGAAUAAUUCCGUUGCUUGACGGUACCUGGAGAGGAAGCCACGGCUAACUCUGUGCCAGCAGCCGCGGUAAUACAGAGGUGGCGAGCGUUGUUCGGAUUCAUUGGGUGUAAAGGGUGCGUAGGCGGCUCGGAAAGUCAGAUGUGAAAUCCUAUGGCUCAACCAUAGAACUGCAUUUGAAACUUCC
rnacentral:rRNA from 1 species